CCAAUAACUUGGUGGUUGAGAACCUGAAGGUGAAGAAUAGCCAACAGAGACUUGGCAGGGAGGAAAAGGCUACGCAAGACACAUUCGAUUUCGAAAUGUCGACAUGAAGAAUGUACAAAAUCCAAUAUUCAUAGAUCAAAAUUAUUGUGACUCAGAAAAACCUUGUUAUGAACAGAAAUCAGCAAUGCUCGUAAGUGAUGUCACGUACAAGAACAUUAAAGGAACAAUUGCUUCAGAUACAAAGAUCGACUUCAAAUGCAGCAAAAGUGUUCCAUGCCAAGAGAUAACAUUGGAGGAUAUCAAUUUAGUUAAAGCAGAUGGAGGAAUCACAAAAAGUCCAUGUAGCAAUGUGAGAUGGU